rnacentral:tRNA from 1 species
GGGCUCAUAGCUCAGUUGGUAGAGCAUCUGACUUUUAAUCAGAGGGUCACAGGUUCGAACACUGUUGAGCCCACCA